rnacentral:rRNA from 1 species
AUUGAACGCUGGCGGCAGGCCUAACACAUGCAAGUCGAGCGAGCGGCGGACGGGUGAGUAAUGUAUGGGGACUGCCCGAUAGAGGGGGAUAACUACUGGAAACGGUGGCUAAUACCGCAUACUGUCGGAUCCCCCCUAUGGGAUUAGCUAGUAGGUAAGGUAAUGGCUUACCUAGGCUACGAUCCCUAGCUGGUCUGAGAGGAUGAUCAGCCACACGGGGACUGAGACACGGCCCAGACUCCUACGGAGGCAGCAGUGGGGAAGAUUGCACAAUGGGGGAAAGCCUGAUGCAGCAAUGCCGCGUGUAUGAAGAAGGCCCUAGGGUUGUAAAGUACUGUCAGUCGGGAGGCGUUACCGACAGAAGAAGCACCGGCUAACUCCGUGCCAGCCGCCGCGGUAAUAC